UACGAAGGGGGCUAGCGUUGUUCGGAAUUACUGGGCGUAAAGCGCACGUAGGCGGACUAUUAAGUCAGGGGUGAAAUCCCGGGGCUCAACCCCGGAACUGCCUUUGAUACUGGUAGUCUCGAGUCCGGAAGAGGUGAGUGGAAUUCCGAGUGUAGAGGUGAAAUUCGUAGAUAUUCGGAGGAACACCAGUGGCGAAGGCGGUUGCCUGGAGCUUUGCUGACGCUGAGGCGCGAAAGCGUGGGGAGCGAUCCGG
rnacentral:rRNA from 1 species